rnacentral:rRNA from 1 species
AUUGAACGCUGGCGGCAGGCCUAACACAUGCAAGUCGAGCGGAGCGGCGGACGGAUGAGUGAUUCCUAGGAAUCUGCCUGGUAGUUGGGGAUAACGUCCGGAAACGGGCGCUAAUACCGCACACUAUCAGUUGAGCCUAGGUGGGAUUAGCUAGUUGGUGGGGUAAAGGCCUACCAAGGCGACGAUCCGUACCUGGUCUGAGAGGAUGAUCAGUCACACUGGAACUGAGACACGGCCCAGACUCCUACGGGAGGCAGCAGUGGGGAAUAUUGGACAAUGGGCGAAAGCCUGAUCCAGCCAUGCCGCGUGUAUGAAGAAGGUCUUCGGAUUGUAAAGCACUUUAAGUUGGGAGGCGUUACCAACAGAAGAAGCACCGGCUAACUCCGUGCCAGCAGCCGCGGUAAUAC